ensembl:lncRNA
CACAAGAAAGGGUCGUUAUAAAGUGAAUUCAGCUUUCUCAGCCCUCUCUGCUCCCUCUCUCACCAUUGUGGUCUCUUUCACUUCGGCCUGCUUCCCUUUCCUGUUUCCACCAUGGAUGAAGUAGCACAUGAUCCUCACCAUAAGCCAAGCAGAUGCCAGCACCCUGUUCUUGGACUUCUAGAACUUUACAUCUUAUAUGUGCAGUUCUGGAUGGAAAAUGUGAUGAACUAUAAGAACUCCUCCAGUGCAUGCUGAAAAAGGAAAAAGGAAGCUAUACUACCCCAAGCCACUGGAAACAUCACCUAAUGAUUUCAAACGCAUUCCUCUUUGUCUGAAUGCAUUCCAACCAAAAGUUAUUUCUAACCACCUAGUAUUCCAGGGUGCUGGUGUGUGUGCAGCCAUCUCCCUUUAUAUUUUAUUAAAGGUGGAAUCAAGGAUUGCAUCUAGCCUAUGUUCAAACUUUUUAAUGGAAUCAAAAUCCUCUAAGGAUUAUCUUAAAUCCAGGUAAUACUGUUAAGUGGAACCUCAAUGUAGCCAAAUAGCUGCAUGGUUAGAAACAUGUAUCUCUGUCUCCUUAAAGUGAUCCCAUGAAUCUGGGUUUCUGUCUCCGAUCCACUUAAAUGUUGGCAUAUGUAUUAUGAGGAAACACAUUGAUGGAAACUCAAAAAACACUCAAACAAAUGCCAGGAUGUCUCUGUAUAAGGAUGGUUUGGAAAAAUUCUAUCAGUCUAAUCCAUCUCAUUUAAUCUCAUCUUCUGAAAGACCCAAAUUCUAUUCCAUUCCUGUGAAUAAGACUAUCUUUUUUCCUUAUCCAGUAUCUUCUUCUCCUUUUCUGUGUCAGUACCCCCCAGCUUAUGCAUCAGCCAAACAGCUCCCCUUUUCCAGGGCAACCUCAAGUUUUACUUCCUACUGAUGCCUUCCUAAUGCAUAUUAAUUUCCAGAGCCUGUCUCAUUUGUGAAACUUGCAAUUCCCCCCAUACCCAAGUCACUGCAGAGGCCAGGCCAGGACCUGUGUUCAGCUUUGCUUUCUCUGCAUGGCACUAGGCUCAAGGCACAAGCAGCCACUUAUCAUGGAGAAAGUUAUCAUCAUGACAUAGUAGUUCCCCCAGACACUGUGUAGCAUUUUUAUGAUUAUAUGUUUGCAGUACAUAAUAAUUAUAUUCAUUGUGGGCAAUCACAUGUUCGUGGACAUAACACAUCUUAAUUCAUUUUUGCAUCCCCUUUCCCUCCCCUUGGUUUGCGCCUCCCUCCACUUCUUGGUCACCGUCCCUUUUGCAAAUGAUCUCCAUGCUUCCUAUUAUCUAUCUUUUAUUUUGCUCUUUAAUUUAUUUAUAUUUUGGGUUUCUCAUAUAAGAGAAACUAUGCAAUAUUUAAGCUUGUAUAUCUGGUUUAUUUUACCUAACAUAUUGCACCUAUUUUUCCCACAAAUGACUCAAGUUUACCCUUCUUUAUGGCAGAGUAGUAUACCAUUCUAUAUAAAUACCACGUUUUCUUUUCUUUUUUUUUUUUUUUGGCACUGAGGAUUGAACUUGGGUCCUUGCGCUUGUGCCGCAGGUGAUGAAACAACUGAGCUAAAUUCCCGGCCAUGUUUUCUUUAUUUAUUCAUCUGUUGAUGGGCAUAUAGGCUGCUUUCAAGAGUUAGCUAUUGUGAGUUAUGCUAUUAUUAAUAUGGGUAUGAAUGUAUCACUGGAAUAUGAUGUAUUUAAUUCUUUCAAGAAGAUACCCAGUAGGAGAAUAGCUGAGUUGAGUGGGACUUCUACUUUUAGUUUUUGAAGAGCCUACAUACUGAUUUCCAUAGUAGUUCUAUUAGUUUGCAGUCCUACCAAGAAUGUAGAAAGGUUUCUUUUCUCCUGCAGCUUCACCAGCAUUUGUUAUUAUGUGAUUUCUUUAUAAUAGCCAUUCUUUCUAGAGUAAGAAUCUCAGUGUUGGAUUUUUGAAUGAGAGGUCAUCAUUUUACAGAGGA